UACGUAGGUCCCGAGCGUUGUCCGGAUUUAUUGGGCGUAAAGCGAGCGCAGGUGGUUUAUUAAGUCUGGUGUAAAAGGCAGUGGCUCAACCACUGUAUGCAUUGGAAACUGGUAGACUUGAGUGCAGGAGAAGAGAGUGGAAUUCCAUGUGUAGCGGUGAAAUGCGUAGAUAUAUGGAGGAACACCGGUGGCGAAAGCGGCUCUCUGGCCUGUAACUGACACUGAGGCUCGAAAGCGUGGGGAGCAAACAGG
rnacentral:rRNA from 1 species